rnacentral:rRNA from 1 species
GAUGAACGCUGGCGGCGUGCCUAAUAUAUGCAAGUCGAGCGAACAGACGAGGAGCUUGCUCCUCUGACGUUAGCGGCGGACGGGUGAGUAACACGUGGAUAACCUACCUAUAAGACUGGGAUAACUUCGGGAAACCGGAGCUAAUACCGGAUAAUAUAUUGAACCGCAUGGUUCAAUAGUGAAAGACGGUUUUGCUGUCACUUAUAGAUGGAUCCGCGCCGCAUUAGCUAGUUGGUAAGGUAACGGCUUACCAAGGCAACGAUGGGUAGCCGACCUGAGAGGGUGAUCGGCCACACUGGAACUGAGACACGGUCCAGACUCCUACGGGAGGCAGCAGUAGGGAAUCUUCCGCAAUGGGCGAAAGCCUGACGGAGCAACGCCGCGUGAGUGAUGAAGGUCUUCGGAUCAUAAAACUCUGUUAUUAGGGAAGAACAAAUGUGUAAGUAACUAUGCACGUCUUGACGGUACCUAAUCAGAAAGCCACGGCUAACUACGUGCCAGCAGCCGCCGUAA